CUUGGUCAUUUAGAGGAAGUAACGGUCGUAACAAGGUUUCCGUAGGUGAACCUGCGGAAGGAUCAUUAACAAAUCAUUGCGGGCUUCGGCUCACAUUAACCCGGCCGCGAGGCCAGGUCUUGUAGACCUUGCAAGAGGUCAACAUUAACGCUUGCAUGUUUGACUGUGUGAUGGAUCAAUAAAAUGACAACUUUUAACAAUGGAUCUCUUGGCUCUUGCAACGAUGAAGAACGCAGUAAAGUGCGAAAUGUAAUGCGAUUUGCAUGAAUCUGUGAGUCAUCAAGUCUUUGAACGCAACUUGCACUCUUGGCGUAAGUCAAGAGUAUACCUGUUUGAGAAUUGUAUCCUCUUCACGCAAGUGAAUGUGAUCCUUCAAGGCGCAAGCUUUAGGAUUUAAAUGAAGGAGAAGGGCGGUGGCCACUAGUUGCCAGCAUUGUGUGAUAGAGACCCCUGGGUCUACUCAUGAUGCUGGUGGCGCUGGCCAACAUCUAACCCUUCUAUAAACUUCUUGUCUUCAAUCUCAAAUCAGGUAAGGCUACCCGCUGAACUUAAGCAUAUCAAUAAGCGGAGGA
rnacentral:rRNA from 1 species